rnacentral:lncRNA from 1 species
AUGCAUGACACUGCAGGUCUCCGCUCAGGUAGUCAGUCCCCGGCAGCUUCAUGCCAUAUUUGUCCACACACCAACACAGCCCACGCUUCCGUCCCCGGGAGGGCUUGCACUGGGGAGAAACACACAAGUGCAGAGAUGAGGAGCUUACCAUCACCCUCCAAUGCCUCCUCUGUGCUGGGACUGAGGCUCAGCCUUGUGCUUUGCUUCUUUUACUUCAUCAUCUCCAUCUCCCAGCCUGGACCUCUCCACUUCCUUCUACCCUACCAGCUCCAGCAGGAUGCUAGACUCAGGCUGGAGGAUGCUCUGAGCCACCAACAAGGCCAACCCCCACCAACCAUGCCUGGAGAGGCUUACUGCAAUCUUCCCAUUAGCCCAGUGGAAGAAAAACCUCAGUUCUCUUCAUCUGACUGUGACAGAAUAAAGCCUCUCUGUGUGCGGAGCAUCCCUGCCUCUGGAGGGCUCUUACCUGCUUCCUCUUGUAGAAUCCCUUUCGGUCGCAGUUGGGGAGAUGCACAGCGCGGGGGACCAUCCGCUGGCUGCUCUUCAGCUCCUGCAGGGAGGCCUCCAUGUGCCUGCGGCAAGGACCCUGGGGGAGGAAUAGAGUAUGUUAGGCAGGGAGCCUUGAGCUGUGAACAUCCCCUGAUCCCUCCCUACCAGUACCCCCUGCCAGAGGCAAAAAGUCCUCUCGCAGCCCCCAUUCUAUGGGGCAAAGCGGGCAGCACCCACCAGCUCAAACUCUUGCCGGAGCUCGGGGAUGACCACGCGGGGAUGUGCUGUGUUCUCUGCCAUGCCCACAAAUUUGGCCAAGGUGAGCUUCUUCCGGCGGUCCUUCUUCAGAGCCUCAGCUUUCAGGUCAGAGAGGCGGCCAUGCUUGGGCCGGUAGGCCUUGGGCGGAUAGGUCUCCUCCGUCAUCUCCGAUGUGGUCGGCUCCUCAUGCUCACGGGAUUCCCGUUCUGGAAGGAAAGGGAUACAGAACUGUCAGGCCUCCAGCAGCUGACAAGGGUUUGCUUGCCCAACCCUGUGCCCAAGGAUGCCCUCCUUGAAAGCCUUUUUCCAGCUCCUUCCUACAAGCCCUGGUUUUAUCCCAAUUUUUGGGAUUUGGUGUGUAUUUCAUGUGAUCCCAGGCUCAGGACAGGGAAGUGUCUUCUGGGCAUGAGUCUGCAAUGGAAUCUUACAUACAAGGCCACUGUUAUUCGCAGAGUUUCAGUAGAGAAUGACUGGUUAUCUGGAUGGUUAUCCCUCAUCCAGAUAGGACACAAAAUGUGGGGGAGAAGUCCCUCUUUAGCAAUGUCAGGAGGAUUAAAUGAUAAACUCACACCUCAACCUUGCAGAUGCAAGAACAAAAGACAAGAUGACUCCAAAGUCAAGGACUAUCAAUUAGCAAAGCUGCCACACUACUGGACAGACACAUUGGCAGAGAUGCUGAAGACACUGACCAGAGUCCUCAGCCUGCAGUGA